UUGAAGUCAUCACUGCAGCUGACAGCCUCUCAGACAGUUCAUUUGUCAUUAACAAACACCUAGUGCUCUUUAAAAACUGGGCAACAGGCUGCAGCUCAGCGGAGCGAUGACGUGCGCAGCCUACAUCAGCACCUUGGAUACGGGCACACCAUUCACUGUGGGGCUCCUGCCCCGUUUUGGACCAAUCAGCGCUUGUGUUUUCAAGCUUGUACUCAGCACCACCCACACUGCUGUAUUGUUCCGCUGUAGGGAAUCUCCUCUCAGGCAACGCACGUAGCCCAUAUCUAUUAUAGCUCCUGCUGUUCGUCGAGGCAAGUUGCAGCAAUGUAGUAUGUUGAAAAUAGAUUUUGAAGAGAAUCAUAUGCCUCAGACUGACAACACCCUUCAGCCAAUGAGAGCACGAUCUCGUCAAUGCUCGCGGGGCGGGACUUGUCUCUUCGACCAAUCACCUCCUUGGAUAUUGUUUUGACCUCUGAAACCGCAUCACCGCCUUGUCUCGUGUCCGCGGCGGAGGAAGUCUAUAAAUACAGGAAACGCAGAGACUGAAGAGGACGAAGUUGCGAAACUCCCGAGUAGGAGGGAGCUACUCUGCAAAGCCUGCUGAAAGAAGAAAGGAGUUUUAAAAAAAAAAGCAAAAUAACCUUAAAAACUGAAACCUUAAACGCCAAUUCUCCAAAA